CUUGAAAGAGAAUUUUUUUGUAGCUUCUCCAAGUAGAAAUUGUGCAUACUCUGUCAUAUUUAAGUUUCAUAAGAGCUCCAUGAGGUGACAAAAGUUUCCAUUUUACAGAUGAGAGAUCUGAAGCUCAGAGGAUUGUCAAUUGGCGCCCAACUUGAACACUCUUCCAGAUUCAAGUUCAUGUGAUUUCUGCCACAUUACAGCUGCAGAAGGGAAGAAAGACAUGUAUGCUGCACCUAGAAUGUGUCAGGGUUGCAUCUUAUUGACAGAGAAUGAAAAUGGCUGAUUCCACCACAGGCAGACGAAGAGGCAGCUUCACAUGAUAGGACACACAUGAAGUCAAAGUCAAUGGCCUGCUCGAAGGAUCUUUGCCUCCUUGAUGUCACUUUUCACAUCUGCACAAUUAUUAGAUGAGACUAGAAGAGCUGUAAGGUCUGGUGCCAACAGUCUUGCUUUCAAUGGCUCUCCAUGCCCAGCGCACAGGGAGGGUGAAGAGUAUUUAUUCUAUUUGUACCCACUGACUCACAGGCCAGGAUGGUGAUUGUUAUACAGUAGUUUACUUUUAAAAGAAAUAAGACUGCUCAAGCAGCUAAUACGGGAAGAUGUAUCACCAGCCUGAAUAAUUGUGACAACCAUAGACCGUAUCAGUGUCUGUUUGUUUGCACAAUACCCUCCUGCAUUAAGAAAGCCGUCCCAGCUGUCUUGGGCUCCGGAGCCACCCAUUUCAUCACUUGACACUGCGGCAGAUGUUAUGGAUUGAUAACAGACUUCACUUCAUUCACUCCACAUCUAAGAUUACCUCUGGAAAAAAAAAAAUCUAAUACAUUAUAACCCUCCGAGCCAUUUGUUUAAAAAAAAAAAAAAAAAAAGAUCAGCAAUUUAUUCCCCUUUUUAGCAUUAAAUUGUGUUUUUUCUUCCUCUUUGAAUGCACAUACUAUUUAAAAAUGGCCAUUUAACACAUUCAUUGCAUGGUUUUCUGUGGGCAGAAAUAUCAGUGGAGACAAGAAUGUAAUGAUUUAAUUGAAUUAGGACCAGAUCAGAUUUAGGGUUGAUGACUCACAUUCCCAUUAUAUAAGAAAGACACUCUUUGCCUUUAAUGAUAGAGAUAUGUCCUGCAUUCACAGGUUUGUUAGAAAGAAGUGCUUCUUGGUUUCUGGAAAACUGAAAAAAAAAAAAAAAAAGAGCUCAGUCUGGGAUUGAAAAGGAGGUAUAAAAUCUGUAUUAAGUUGAACAGAUUUCUUAGCUAAGCAGCAGAUUCUCCUCUUUAGUUUGGGAAAUUUAAGGAUUUCUGCAAACGUAAUGCAAAUAGGAUUGACCAUUGCUUAAAGAUCACUCAAUGAAACAGUCUGAAAAGUGGGCAUUCCUUACACACAAAGAGAUUUUAUGGAAAAAUGUGUAAAAAUGAAUAAAAAUAACAUACUGUGGGCCUUUUUCUUAGAU
rnacentral:lncRNA from 12 species